GGGAGGAAGGGUUUAUGUUGUCCCAGAGUUAAAGGGUCCAAUCCAUCAUGGCAGGGAACACAUGGCCAAAGGAGUACAAGGCCCUGCUCACAUCACCUGUAGUCAAAGAGCAGAGAGAUGAACACUGGAUCUUGGUUCUCCUCUAUACAGAAGUCAGUUGGACCCCCUAUGUGUGCUUUCUGACUAGUACUUUAAAGAAAUUACCACUUCACAUAGACAGCUGCACAACUGGAAUAUAGGAAAGUGAGGUUAUGUCUGUAUGCCUAAAUCACAUCUGUGAAUGUCAAGGAAUGAGUGCAUAUGGGGAGCAACUGAGCUGUGUCCUCUUCCUGCGAAGCCACAUCCCUGGAGAUGGGAAGCUGAGAUACCCUCGAGCCAGGAAAGCCAAAACUAGGAACUUGGUUUCACAGACUCAGAAAGCUGGGUUCAAAGAAGUUUCAUGACUUUACCCACCACCACAGAGCUGGAGAGGCUGCCUGGCUGGAGACCCACUCCUCUCUUCACAGGGCCCUUCUGAGGGGCGCUGCUUGUGAAGUCCAGCGAGUGUUGACUUUCUACUUCCUCUGGGCCCGUUUCUGGGCUGUGUGCUGGAAUCGGACACACACACAAGACAGAGGUAAUCCCAAGAAAACAGGAAGCCCUCAAUCGCCGCUUCAUGGUCGGUCCUGGCUCAUCACCAGGAACACAGAACUGAUGAGGUUGCCAUGGAGAUUCUCAGCUAUGCAAAAAUAUUUCCUCUUCAUAUUAAACACCCAGAAUCCACUUUCCCUAGUUUCACACACUUAGCUAUGGGCAAAGCCUAAUUAACCUUCCACUGUGUGUCCUGCUACCUCAUAGUGGUGGCCGUGAUGGAGCAUGGGAUGCAGGUGACCAGCUACUGUAAGCCCGUGGUUUGAAUGGGAAAAUAUUGGU